rnacentral:rRNA from 1 species
UACAGAGGUGGCAAGCGUUUGUUCGGAAUUACUGGGCGUAAAGGGCGCGUAGGCGGCCUACUAAGUCAGACGUGAAAUCCCCCGGCUUAACCUGGGAACUGCGUCUGAUACUGGAAGGCUUGAGUAUGGGAGAGGGAUGUAGAAUUCCAGGUGUAGCGGUGAAAUGCGUAGAUAUCUGGAGGAAUACCGGUGGCGAAGGCGGCAUCCUGGACCAUUACUGACGCUGAGGCGCGAAAGCUAGGGGAGCAAACGGG